rnacentral:ncRNA from 2 species
AUCUUAUCAAGAGAGGUGGAGGGAAUGGCCCUAUGAAGCCCGGCAACCAGUAUAUAAAUAAAUACUAAGGUGCUAAUUCCUGCAGUAUAAUCUGCAAGAUAAGAA